rnacentral:rRNA from 1 species
GACGAAGGAUUCAAGCGUUGUCCGGAUUUACUGGGUUUAAAGGGCGCGUAGGCGGUUCGUUAAGUCCUGUGUGAAAUCCCCCGGCUCAACUGGGGAACUGCACAGGAAACUAGCGGGCUUGAGUUCGGGAGAGGGAAGCGGAAUUCCGGGUGUAGCGGUGAAAUGCGUAGAUAUCCGGAGGAACACCGGUGGCGAAGGCGGCUUCCUGGACCGACACUGACGCUGAGGCGCGAAAGCUAGGGGAGCAAACGGG